UCCCCUGUGGCUCAGAUGGUAGAGUCUGCCUGCUAAGCAGGAGACCCAGAUUUGAUUCCUGGGUGGGGAA
rnacentral:tRNA from 1 species